rnacentral:lncRNA from 10 species
UGGUAGGGGACAGAAUUCUCCUCACAGUUGUAGCCCCCAACGAUCUUGUCAUCAUCAUCAAAGGGGGCAGCAACUGGAGUGGAGAUGGGAAGGGAGAAGGCAAGUCAAUAGCAUGUUAGGGGUGGCGCUCCCAGCCUGUGAUUGCUUUCUGCUAAUUAGAAAUCCUUAACAAGCACAGUGAGGCUAGGCAAGGGAGGGAGCUCUGCCACCCCUGGUGAUCAUCACUGCCUGUGGCUCCCAAGUCUCUGUGCCUGCAGGGCACAUAGCUAGGUACCCUGCGGAGGAUCCGAGCUCUCCUGGGGUCACCAGGCUGAAGUCGCAAGGAAUGUCCUCACAAUGCUUCCAGUGGGAUAGGAGUUGGGAUGUGGUUGUCUCUCCCACUGAGUGCUUCUCUCUUUUAUUCAUCACCUGUGUACUUCCCCUGGCUAUUUGGGCCCUGGAUUGUCAGGAUUCUUUUGCCAAGCUAGGAAAACCCCCUGUCUGCAUAGACCUGGCCAUGACCACCUUCCCCCAUAGCUCAGAUCUGUGCAGUCAGGGCAGAGUUGAGGGCAGCCCCCAGGCUCACUUUGGCAGAACAAAGGUAGACUUUGUUAUUGGCCAAUAGGACAGCAAUUCUUAACCUUGGCUGCAUGGCUGGAAAUAUUAAAAAUCACCUGGGAAGCUUAAAAGCCCAGAACACAAGCUCUACCCCAGACAAUUGAAGUUAGAAUUUCUAGAGCUGAGUCUCUGGCAUGAGUAAUUUUUCAACCUCCCCAGGUGCAUUCGAGGUUAGGAGCAGCUAUAGUGGUGCUAUUCUGUUGCUGUUGGAGCCAAGCCUGAAGCCUGCUGCUUCAUUUCGUGGGACAGCCCCACCUGGCCCCCUUCCCAGCUUCUCCAACCACAACUCGGAUAUGGAUGAAUGACAGUGGUGGGAGUGAAGUCAAGGAGAAGGUGAACAGGAGGCCUUGACAGAGGCACCUGAAGAAGACCUCUACAUAGGCCUCAGAAAAAGAGACCUAAGAAUGAAGGAUCCUGAGCUGGCAAUAUAAAUAUGCACAAGGGCGUGACCAGCCAGGGGGUCCUUGACUGCAACUCCCUUCAAAGACUGCAAUGCAUUGGCUGUGCACCAAGUCUGGGGUGGGCAGAACAGCCUCUCCACACCCUGUAAACCAGCCAGAUAACCCUGCUCGGAUGUUGAGAGACGACAGCACCAAGCCCGGAGCCUGCUGAGACAGAAGCCAGAGAGAGAGGAGAGCCCAGUGGGAGCCGAGUCAGACAGGACGCCAGGCAGAGCUGAGCCUCACUCCCUCCCUGUGCUCCCAGCUCCUGGAGAGUCCUGUUUGUUUUGUGCAAUCUUCCCGUCAUCUCCCUAGGGCCAUAAUCCCCCAUCUCCUCUGACCGGCGGCUUUCACCUUACCAUUUACACCUCUAGAGAGCAGGGCCUCUCCCUCUCCCUUCGAUGAGCAUAAACAAUCCACAUUGCAACCCUGCUGGCCACCACUUGACCAUGCCAACACACGCACAUGCCCACCCAAGCUCCCAGGUAGAAGGAGGCUUAUACCUGGCCCCAGAAGCAGCAGAAGCAGCAGCAUCUUCCGUGAUGGCCUCACACCACCUUCUCUGGGGAGAGUUGUGACCACUGCCUCCAUUCACCAGCGAGGAGGGAUGACUGAUCACAGAAUCCCAAGGAUGCCCUAGUCUGCCCCCUGGUGGUAAUCUUUGCCCAUGACUGAUGUUACGUCCAUCUCUGCCUGUCAAAAAACCAUACAGGUCGGGUGAGGUGGCUCACGCCUGUAAUUCCAGAACUUUGGGAGUCCGAGGCGGGUGGAUCACAAGGUUAGGAGUUCAAGACCAAUCUGGCCAACAUGGUGAAAACCCAUCUCUACUAAAAACACAAAAAUUAGCCAGGCGUGGUGGUGGACACCUGUAAUCCCAGCUACUCAGGAGGCUGAGGGAGAGAAUUGCUUGAACCCAGGAGGCGGAGGUUGCAAUGAGCUGAAAUCAUGCCACUGCACUCCAGCCUGGGUGACAGAGUGAGACCCCAUAUCAAAAGAAAACAAAAAACCCAUACAUUGCCUAAAGUGGCCUAAAGACUUCCCAAUUCAACUUCCAAAUUUAUUAAAGAUACACUGAGACAUAAAGCAUUGUAAUGACUUAAGUGAGUUUCCUAUAAGGAAAGGAGUGUAGGUUUAGGUAAUGAAUGGCAUUGGAGUCUGUUUGCUGCUUCUGUUUCAUAUCCUCAAAGUAAUAACACCAAGACAACUCAUGGUUGUUAAUCACUAGACCCACAGGUUGGCACUACCAUAAAUAUUGAUAAAGCACAGGCCAGUGCCUCGGCUGGAAGUCCAAUGUUUCUUCAUAAUCAUGUUGAAGCCACUUCAUCAUUUUCUAAAUGAGAUAGUUACCUCAUGUGUAUCUCAUGACAAUUUCCCUCAUAUAUAAAGGGACUUAAUUCUAAACAUUCUAAUAAUAUUUCUCAAUUUAGCUUGUAUGUUUCCGUGUUAAUCACUGUUGAGGUUGUGAGAAUAAUUAAAUUUAUUCUAUUGUAAUGGAGGUCAUACUAAGUACUGGACAGUGAAAAUAGUUUCUAGGAGGCAUAAGAAAUUCUUUGAUUUGAACAGGCUGGGAUACUUGUUUUAAUGGAUCGAUGUUGGAAAUAUGUAGCAAUUACAAGGAGCUGGAAAGUUUUUUUGAAAGCCCUAUGUUUUCAUUUUUAUAACAGCCUCUCAAUUGUGCUUUCAUUUAAUAUUUAGUUCUGCUUCUCUGGCAUAGGUAGCUAGAAAAGAUAAGAUUAAGACUUCGCCCAUCAUAUUAUGUUUGUGCAAUAGUGAAAUCGUUUUAUAACAAAUAUAGCUAUUGCAUUAUGUUAAUAUUGACAUAUCUAUUAAAGGGCAUCUGUAUGCUCCUGUGGCUGCAUUUUUUAUUUCCUGGGUAUGUUGGGCCUCAUUAAAAUGAGGCCACUUCAUACUGUAACUGUACUUUUUCUGCAAAGAAUAAGUAGGGACAGCUUGCUAUGGGUGACCUCUGGUCCAAUAUUAUGAUAUGUCUGGGAGGGAGUGGCUGGAAGACCUUCAGAUCAGAAGAAAAUCUUCCUAUUUAUUUUGAGAAACACUAAUUGUCAGGUACAGAUGGUCUCAUGAUGGUUCAAUGACUUUUCAACUUUACAAUGGUGCAAAAGCAAUAUGCAUUUCAGUGUGCUCCUUGACUUAUGAUGGGGUUAUGUACAGAUAAGCUGGAUAUUGUAAGUUGAAUUAUGAUGUUUUCAAUUUGUGCUGGAUUUAUCAGGAUAUUACCCCACUGCAAGUCAAGGAGCAUCUGGAUAUUCUUGUGGGGUUUUAUCACUGUGUCAACUUAGCUAAGCAAGGAAUAUGUUUCGGACAACUUUUUUCCUAGUAUGGUUCCGGGUUAGAGUUGAUCAUGGGGUAAGAAAUGCAGGAAGUUUGUAAGGGGAAAGUAAAACAGCUGCUACUGAGUUCUGAAGUCAUCACUGGCUCCAGGCAGUAAGGAGUAGCAUCAAAAGUGCCGGUGAGUUCCAAUUUAUGCUGACUUUCCCCUGCUUCACAUCCAGCUCUUUAUACCGACUGCCAGCCCUGCUGACCAGGAGGGACUGCAGUGCCACCACCAAAUUUUCUGAGAACUCACAGGGCUAUUGGCACAUAGAGUCAGCCAUCUUCAUAGAUUCCUACACCAGCCCCUUCAGGGUUCCAUAUAGUGUAUGGAUAUAACAGCUUAAUGCAAAACUUAAUGCGAAGUCCAGUUCAUCCACCUUCACCAGAGCUGGUUAGAGUUGUUUUUUCUGACCCUUUUCAAACUUUCACUUAUCCAUCUUCUCCCCAAAUUGUGUCAGGCCUCAUUCCUAUAAUAUAUUCUUUUGUUCCUUAAUGCUCAUGGUGGUUUUUCUUCCCUGACACUUCCAUUUGUGUUAUGGGUUUGCCAUAGCCAAAACCAUACAUUGUCAAUAGCUAGUAUGUGCUAUGACUUUUCAUUUUCUGAGACUACUUCAAGGCCAUCUCUUAAAAUUAGUCAAUGUGACCAGUUUUCUUGGUGUCUGGGGGACUUCAGUAUCCAUGAGAACUGUUGGAAAAAGAGAUAGAAGUUAGAGUCAGAGGCCUGGCACCAAAGGGCUGUGGCACAAGAAAUCCUUGGUGUUGAGAUCUGAUAGCCCAUAAUAGGGCUCUACAUCUUUGCCUGGGAUAAAUCUACUACUAGGAAUCAAAGGCCAUGCAGCAGAGAAGCAUGCUUAAUAGGGCAGACACAGAAUAUGAUGGAUCCUCUUUCUGCUCUGAGUUGGUAUACUAAAGUUUUGUGCAAAAACAAUGACGAUUAAAGAUGAUGGUUAACACAUAGGUAGGUAAUUGUAAUUAAGUAUUGGUAAAAUAAAACAAUACUUCUAGUUAUGGUAGAUCUAACAUUCUGACUAUCCAAAAUAUUGGAAAUCAUGAAGGGGAACCAUAGGUGUUAAUUGUUCUAAAGUUCACAUAGGCUUCAGGAGAAUGGUAAAGAUAAGACUAAUCUCAGAUUUUCUUAAUAUAAUUAUAUAAUAAAAUGUUACAGUUAACCAUCAAAAAAUGAAAAUGAAUUGCGGACUUCUGAAAGGCAAAAUAAUGAAAUGAGAAAAAUAGUCAACAAAAAUAAGGUCAUGCAUGAGGGAAGAAGAAACCAAAAUGUGAGAAAAAUUAAUGUACAAAACCAAGCAAGAAACAUAACUCAAAACCCAGGAAAUCACCUUCUAUAGAAAACUAUACAGAAAUACAUUUAAGACAAUAGACUGAGGAUUCUAGUUCUAUAAAUCAUGGGCUGAAAAAAUACACACUGCUUAUGAAAUACCCACCUGAAGAAUAAAAACAACAAAAAGGCUGCAUGUAGAAAGGUUGAAAAAGAAAUACUUGACAAAUACAAUCUUAAAAACAUGAAAUAGUUUUAUUGAUGUCAUCCCAAAAGGACUUCAAUGCAAAAAGAGCAGCAGGGAAAAAAUAAGAGUACCAAGUAAUGACACAAAUUCAAAUGGCUGUGGUGUGGUAUUUGGUCUUCAAAGACACCAGCCUGAUGAAACACACUGGCCAGUGGUCACCUUCCCAGGGGUGCCCUUCUCUUGAAUCCGAGCUGGCUGGAUUGUGGUGGAGGUGUCACUGCAUAUUUCUCAGGCUGGGCUGUAAGGAGCCUAGUUGACCACACCCGGGUCUCUUGAAUGCUCACAGUUAGGGUGGUCAACGACCAUGCCAAAACUUUAGCUGCCUAGAGGCCACCAUGCUGUGAGACAGCUCAUCUAAUCACAUCAAAAGGCUGUGUACAGAGAGAAAUGCUCAGCGGGUCCACAGCUACUGCAGCCAUCCCAGGUAACGAACCAACAGGGGCACAAAAAAGCCACCUUGGAUAUUCAGCCUAGUUGAGUCUUCAGAUAUCUUCAGCCUCAGUGACUAUCUGACAGUGACCAUGUGAGCAGCCCUAAGUGAGAACUGUCCAGCUGAGCCCUUCUACAGAAUCACAAGAGAUAAUAAUAUGUUGUUCUUUUAAAUCACUAACUUUUGGAGUGGUUUGUCACACAGCAAUAGAUUAUUGGUCAAGAUAAUAUACUUGCCAUUUUAAGUUUUCUAAGUGAGGUAUAAAAUACAUAGACUGCACAAAUCUUAAGUGUUCAGCCCAAUGAAUUUUUGAAAUGAAUAUACUCAUGUAAUCAUCACCCAGAUCAAGAUAUAGAAUUUAGAAUUCCAAAAGCCUUCCUCAUGUCUCCCUCAGAAUAAAUACAUAAUGCUACCAAAUUUAAUCACUAUUCUGACUACAUACUGUAUUAUUUUGUGUCUACUAUAUUUUAUUCAAUGUUAUAUUUGAAAUAUCUGUGUUGGAAAUUACACUUGAUUUUUUUGUGCUAUAUUGUAUUCUGUUACAUAAAUGUAACACAAUCAUUUCUCCAUUGCAUUGUCAGAUGUUGAAUAUUUUCCAAUUUGGAGCCAUUGGGAAUAAAGCUGCUAUUGUGGUAGUACCUUUUUCUCACACGUUAAAUAUCCCUUUCUGCUUCCUAAGAAUUCUGGACUAUUUCUUCAAUUUUUAAACAGUUGACAAAUUGGUUUUCUGACUUGUCUAAUUUACAAUUUGUUAUGUUCAAUGUGAUUUUAAAUAGAGCAAUUAUGUUUAUUAUGUUAAAGAAAUACAGUUCUAGAUUAAAAUUUUAUAUAAAUUAUCUUCCUAUUUAAUAGAUGCGAUGGCCUCUCAAAACUUGCUAAGAAAACAUUCAGUGAUAUUUUACAUUUUAAAAAUUUCCUGUCCUUCACUUCAGAUGAUAUCUCUCUUACAACCUGGUUGUGGGAAUGGAGAUUAUGAUGAAACUUCAUAGCUACAGUGUUCUUUUCAGUAUUAAGAUUACCCUGAAAAAAGCAAAUGGUUAAUAGUUUUACAGUAGAAUUUUUGAAGUCUAUUUAAGCUCUUAUGCCCUGCUUUAAUAAAUUCCUCAACUGAAACAAAGGAAUUUGUGUCCAUUCUAGUCACGGACAAGAAAAACAAGGAAAAACAAGAUUGUCUAUCUCUUACUGUCUUCCCUUUCGUUUUCUUCCUCUCAUUGGACAGACAGUCUUUCCCAAUCCCAUCACCUCUGGAAAAUGGCUUGUAUACAGGGC